AGCUACUAGAAAUAGUAGAUAAUACCGAAUACGACCACGAGGGGUUAGAGACCUGUGAGGAAAGGAGCUAAGGCNCCGCUGAAAGAGUUGGCCCGCGGCCCAUUAGCUAGUUGGUAGGGUAAAGGCCUACCAAGGCAAUGAUGGGUAUCCGGCCCUGAGAGGGUGAUCGGACACAUUGGGACUGAGAUAACGGCCCAGACUCCCUACGGGAGGGCAGCAGCUAAGAAUAUUCCGCAAUGGACGAAAGUCUGACGGAGCGACGCCGCGUGGAUGAUGAAGGCCGAAAGGUUGUAAAAUCCUUUUGAACUGGAAGAAUAAGUAGAGUAGGGAAUGAUUCUAUGGUGACAGUACAGUUUGAAUAAGCAACGGCUAAUUACGUG
rnacentral:rRNA from 1 species